UGCUGGGGAUCAGUUGGCUGGUGCUACAUCAUCUCCCUGGAUAAUGGCAUUCCAGGAAGAUCACAUUCAGCUCCUCAUCUUGCUAGGGCCACACAAAAAUUUCUUGGGCAAAAAAGGAACACAAAAUGGAACAAACUGAAGAAUCUCUGAUCUAAACCUAUUUGCAUUUUGUGGGGAAUAACAAGAUGAUAAUGAGAGCAGCUAGGAUUUCUACAGCUUUUUAAGGUGUGAUGCUAAGACCUGAAGAUAAAAAGACAAACAUGAAGCAGUCUCUGCCCCCAUGGAGCUUAAAGAUCAGCCUAAAAAGGAUCAUCUUAUAUUUCCUUAUAUCUGUGGCCAAAGAAAUGCACAUAAUUCAAAUGCCUACUUUCUCAUCUCUACAGAAUCUCUGAAAAUGCCCUAAAUUGGGAAUGAGUGUAGCCCUGAUGAGAAGAGAAAGAAGCCCUCAUUAUCACUCAAUGGAUUGAAAUGUAUAGAUGAUUCCAUCGUACUUAUAGACUUUAAAAUCAGCACUUUACUAAACAGAAAUAAGGUUCAC